ACGGAAGGCAGCAGUGAGGAAUAUUGGUCAAUGGGCGGAAGCCUGAACCAGCCAUCUCGCGUGCAGGACUACGGCCCUACGGGUCUUAAACUGCUUUUAUGGGGGGAUAAAGUCGGGCAUUCGUGUCCGUUUGCAGGUACCCCAUGAAUAAGGAUCGGCUAACUCCGUGCCAGCAGCCGCGGUAAUACGGAGGAUCCGAGCGUUAUCCGGAUUUAUUGGGUUUAAAGGGUGCGCAGGCGGCCCGUUAAGUCAGCGGUGAAAUGUCGGGGCUCAACCCGGGCACUGCCGUUGAAACUGGGGGGCUUGAGUACGGAUGAGGUCGGCGGAAUGUGACGUGUAGCGGUGAAAUGCAUAGAUAUGACACAGAACACCGAUUGCGAAGGCAGCGUACUGGGACGCGACUGACGCUGAGGCACGAAAGUGCGGGGAUCGAACAGGAUUAGAUACCCUGGUA
rnacentral:rRNA from 2 species